rnacentral:rRNA from 1 species
GACGAACGCUGGCGGCGUGCUUAACACAUGCAAGUCGAACGGAAAGGACCUGCUUUUGUGGGGUGCUCGAGUGGCGAACGGGUGAGUAACACGUGAGUAACCUGCCCUUGACUUUGGGAUAACUUCAGGAAACUGGGGCUAAUACCGGAUAGGAGCUCCUGCUGCAUGGUGGGGGUUGGAGAGUUUCGGCGGUUGGGGAUGGACUCGCGGCUUAUCAGCUUGGUGGUGGGGUAGUGGCUUACCAAGGCUUUGACGGGUAGCCGGCCUGAGAGGGUGACCGGCCACAUUGGGACUGAGAUACGGCCCAGCCUCCUACGGGAUGCAGCAGUGGGGAAUAUUGCACAAUGGGCGGAAGCCUGAUGCAGCAACGCCGCGUGCGGGAUGACGGCCUUCGGGUUGUAAACCGCUUUCUCCUGUGACGAAGCGUGAGUGACGGUAAUGGGUAAAGAAGCACCGGCUAACUACGUG